GGAGUCGGCCAGACAGUCGCGUCACUCGCAAGAGUGCCGAGGAAAGUCCGGGCUCCAUAGGGCAAGGUGCCAGGUAACGCCUGGGCGGCGCAAGCCGACGGAAAGUGCAACAGAAAGAUACCGCCUACGUUCCUUUCGGGGGGCCGGUAAGGGUGAAAUGGUGCGGUAAGAGCGCACCGCGAGUCCGGUAACGGACCGGCACGGCAAACCCCACCUGGAGCAAGACCAAAUAGGGAUCCAUUGGCGUGGCCCGCGCUGGAUCCGGGUAGGUUGCUUGAGCGCUGCGGUGACGUAGCGCCUAGACGAAUGACUGUCCACGACAGAACCCGGCUUAUCGGCCGGCUCCGCCG
rnacentral:RNase_P_RNA from 1 species